UGGGGAAUAUUGCACAAUGGGCGCAAGCCUGAUGCAGCAACGCCGCGUGAGGGACGACGGCCUUCGGGUUGUAAACCUCUUUUAGUAGGGAAGAAGCGAAAGUGACGGUACCUGCAGAAAAAAGCACCGGCUAACUACGUGCCAGCAGCCGCGGUAAUACGUAGGGUGCGAGCGUUGUCCGGAAUUAUUGGGCGUAAAGAGCUCGUAGGCGGUCUGUCGCGUCUGCUGUGAAAACCCGAGGCUCAACCUCGGGCCUGCAGUGGGUACGGGCAGACUAGAGUGCGGUAGGGGAGAAUGGAAUUCCUGGUGUAGCGGUGGAAUGCGCAGAUAUCAGGAGGAACACCGAUGGCGAAGGCAGUUCUCUGGGCCGUAACUGACGCUGAGGAGCGAAAGCGUGGGGAGCGAACAGGAUUAGAUACCCUGGUAGUCCACGCCGUAAACGUUGGGCGCUAGAUGUGGGGACCAUUCCACGGUUUCCGUGUCGCAGCUAACGCGUGAAGUUGACCGCCUGGGGAGUACGG
rnacentral:rRNA from 1 species